rnacentral:rRNA from 1 species
ACGGGUGAGUAACACGUAGGCAACCUGCCCUCAAGCUUGGGACAACUACCGGAAACGGUAGCUAAUACCGAAUACUUGUUUUCUUCGCCUGAAGGAAACUGGAAAGACGGAGCAAUCUGUCACUUGGGGAUGGGCCUGCGGCGCAUUAGCUAGUUGGUGAGGUAACGGCUCACCAAGGCGACGAUGCGUAGCCGACCUGAGAGGGUGAUCGGCCACACUGGGACUGAGACACGGCCCAGACUCCUACGGGAGGCAGCAGUAGGGAAUCUUCCGCAAUGGGCGAAAGCCUGACGGAGCAAUGCCGCGUGAGUGAUGAAGGUUUUCGGAUCGUAAAGCUCUGUUGCCAGGGAAGAACGCUUGGGAGAGUAACUGCUCUCAAGGUGACGGUACCUGAGAAGAAAGCCCCGGCUAACUACGUGCCAGCAGCCGCGGUAAUACGUAGGGGGCAAGCGUUGUCCGGAAUUAUUGGGCGUAAAGCGCGCGCAGGCGGUCAUGUAAGUCUGGUGUUUAAUCCCGGGGCUCAACCCCGGAUCGCACUGGAAACUGCGUGACUUGAGUGCAGAAGAGGAGAGUGGAAUU